UUUGGUGGCGAUAGCGAAGAGGUCACACCCGUUCCCAUUCCGAACACGGCAGUUAAGCUCUUCAGCGCCGAUGGUAGUUGGGGGUUUCCCCCUGUGAGAGUCGCC
rnacentral:rRNA from 1 species